rnacentral:lncRNA from 1 species
UUAAAGUGAUGUUUGAUCUUUAGGAGACAUUGACAGCGAUGGAGCUUCUUCCUCUUCUGUGUCUCUGCCUCCUGACUCGCUCUGGAAUCACGUCUGCUCAACUAAACACGUCUCCCAAUGGAUGGAUUGUUGCUGGUGCAGUUCUAGCUGUUGCUGUUGUUGUUAUUGUUCUAGCUGCUGCUGUUCUUCUAGCCAAGUAUAAAAAAGUGAUGUCCAAAUGCAGCUUGUUCCAAAGAGCAGUACCACAGUAAGUGAAGACACCAGACCUGGAUCUGAUUCUGGGAACAGCUUGAAGACCUCUGCCUGAUGACCUGAGAGGCCUGAUGAUCAAUGAUCAAUGACACAGGUAUUGCAACAUGUAUAAUCUCUUCCACUUUAUCAAAUAAUUGCAACUUUUAAC